rnacentral:rRNA from 1 species
AGAGAGAGACAUGCGCGCAUAUCAAUAAGCGGAGGAAAAGAAACUAACUAGGAUUCCCUCAGUAACGGCGAGUGAAGCGGGAAGAGCUCAAAUUUGAAAUCUUAAAGGUUCUACCUUGACGAAUUGUAGUUUAAAGAAGUGUUUUCUGUUGGAGUUUUGGUAAAAGUUCUUUGGAAUAGGACAUCAUAGAGGGUGAGAAUCCCGUAUUUGACCAUUAUUUCCAGCUUUGUGAUACACUUUCAAAGAGUCGGAUUGUUUGGGAAUGCAGUCCAAAAUGGGUGGUAAAUUUCAUCUAAAGCUAAAUAUUGGCGAGAGACCGAUAGCGAACAAGUACCGUGAGGGAAAGAUGAAAAGAACUUUGAAAAGAGAGUUAAACAGUACGUGAAAUUGUCAAAAGGGAAGCGUUUGACACCAGUGUUGUUUUCUCGAAAAUCAAUUAAAAAAGGCAGGAUUUUGUGUUGUAUUGACUUUAUCAGCUUUCUGCACUCUUUUCUUGUCUUUUUUAAUGCACUUUUCGUUUAACAAGUCAACAUCAAUUUCUUUUGUUGUAAAAGGGUCAUUGGAAGGUGGCUUUCUUUUCGGAGAAAGUGUUUAUAGCCUUUGGCCUCUGCAAUCGGAGAGAUUGAGGUCUGCAGCGUAGAUCCUUCGGGGUUAGAUACAUUUGUGCUAAGUUAUAGCCUUUUCAUAGACAACUUGUUGACUAUGAUCAGUCAUGUAGCUUACUCGCUUAUGCUAUUUUACCUACGCUUAGGAUGUUGAUGUGAUACUGCGAGCA